UACGAAGGGGGCUAGCGUUGCUCGGAAUCACUGGGCGUAAAGCGCACUAGGCGGGUCCUUAAGUCAGGGGUGAAAUCCCGGAGCUCAACUCCGGAACUGCCUUUGAUACUGGGGAUCUUGAGUCCGGAAGAGGUGAGUGGAACUCCGAGUGUAGAGGUGAAAUUCGUAGAUAUUCGGAAGAACACCAGUGGCGAAGGCGGCUCACUGGUCCGGUACUGACGCUGAGGUGCGAAAGCGUGGGGAGCAAACAGGG
rnacentral:rRNA from 1 species